rnacentral:lncRNA from 1 species
GUAGUGGCGGCCAGGGCUGGGGUCCUGGGAGUCUAGUGGCCGCAAAGGGCAUCCCAGAAUGUGAUGCCACUGGGUGCACAGACAGCCUCCCACAUUACCAAGGGCAUGCUCCCGGGGCCCUAACCUAAGACCCCAGAAGAACGGGUCGCUGCCACCAAGAAGUAUAAAUAUGUGUGUGGAAGACUACGAGCCUUAUUCGAAUGACGGCAUGGGGUAUGGGGACUACCUGAAGCUCCCUGACCACUUAUAGCAGAAGAGGGAUCUGUGGUAUAACUGAGACCACCUGGCCUGAGGUUGAACUGGGGAUACACUGGCACCUAGACAUGCAUAUCAGGAACCAUGUAGCUAUGUCCCCCACACCUGUUUCUUGGAAUAUCAUGUGUAUACAGCUCUUCGGCUCUGUGGCUUUCAUGAUGUUCAUGUUCUGGGUGGGGGUGAUUUACCCUGUCUACCAGCCCGUGGGACCAAAACAGUGUCCUUGCAAUAAUCUGUACCUGGAACAAGGUGGCGAUCUCUCCAAAGAACCUGAGCCAGUGGUUGACUAU